UACGGAGGGUGCAAGCGUUAUCCGGAUUCACUGGGUUUAAAGGGUGCGUAGGUGGGUUGGUAAGUCAGUGGUGAAAUCCCCGAGCUUAACUUGGGAACUGCCAUUGAUACUAUCAGUCUUGAAUACUGUGGAGGUUAGCGGAAUAUGUCAUGUAGCGGUGAAAUGCUUAGAUAUGACAUAGAACACCAAUUGCGAAGGCAGCUGGCUACACGAAUAUUGACACUGAUGCACGAGGCGUGGGGAUCAAACAGG
rnacentral:rRNA from 1 species